CGGCGUCCGGCACACCCCUGCCGUGCUGUUAACCCAGGCCGGUGGCAAAGCGGGGCCUCUGGGGCUCGCCCCCGGCAGGGAGAGGGGCGCGGCCCGCGGGGGCAGACGGCAGGGACAGGGCUGCAGCGAGCUCUUAGCACCCCAGGAGCUCGGCCCGGGCUUCACACGGAGGGAUGGACUCUCACAGUUCAAGUGAGAAGAGGUUUUUCUUCUCAUCUGAAUUUCCUGACUUCCAACAAGAGGAAGAACUUAAAGCAAGCAGGGGUGCCACAGCUAAGUUUGCCAGCUCAAUGAGUGCCAGCGCACCAUGCAUGCGUUCACGCUGCUCCUGGAGGCGGUGGUGGCGGG